AAUAUCAAAAUAGUAUGUGAGGCUGGGAAGGCCACAGGGCUCUCAGCUUAUGCUCUGAGUCCUACAAAGAAUGCUGUUAAUUCACUGAUGUCACGCAUCUGAUGCCUGUGAGUCACUCACCCACUCAGCUGGCUCGGAUUGAGACCUACUUUAUACCAGCUGCCGAUCCAAGUGCUGGGGAGACCCCAGUGGGAGCCUGGAUCACGGCAUCACUGUCCUUCUUCAUUUGCUCCCAGAAUCCUCCUCAAGAAGUCCACAUGGAAUUUGGAGUGUGGAGGCAGAUGAGGAAGUGGAGCCACGUGGAGAUGAUGCAAUUUGCCCCAAAUGAAGCAACUAUUAAGUGAAAGAACUGAAAUACACAAAGAGUCCAAAGACACACUAACUGUAGAGCACUGUCUCCUACAUUGUCAGUGAAAUCAAUUCUAAUUCAUUUCAGAACUUUUACAAACUUGAAUCAUUUCCAUUUUUCUUCCAAGCACUUAAUGGGUUCAAUAUUUCUAAAGAAACAGGAAAGCUUUCCAUUCUCCUUCCUCAAGUUUCUUCUUACUUAUCAUCUUUUCCGAUCAUAACUUUAAUAUUUGCUCAUUAAAGAAAAUUUGAAAGUACUCAGUAGUGGACAGAACUGCUGUCCUGGAUCUGUCCCCAGUCUUAGAAGAGGACCCAGAUUUUGCUUUAGGAUAACUAACCUCCCUUCUGUUUUUAGUCCUGUGAUUUAAGCUCAAUUGACCCCACUCUUUCUGAAGCACCAGAGGUAGAUCUCAGUUGGUUUUAGACAAACAAUACCCCUCAUUCUAUUGGCCUCGCACAUGAUAUGAGAAUUGGCAAAUAACCCAGUAAGAGCCACUAUUAUGUGAGGAGAUACGUGCUGGUGCCCAUGUGAAUGAUAAGCUUCCUCUAUCAAGAGAGGAAGCUGCCAAAAGAGAGCUCUCUUUGUUUGGAUGGAUGUGUGAUCUUGGAUGCUGAGUGCCUAGAAGCAGCGUGCUGAGACAUCCUUGGACACAGAAUGAAGACAGGACAAAAGCAGCCCUUGACAUCAUCUGGGCUACAGUAUCUCUCCUUGACUGAAGCCAGACCUCAGAACUGAGGUUUUCAUUUACAGGAACCAAUAAAUCCCAUGCAUCCCCAUUUCUUGGUUGUUGUUUAAACACAUUGGAGAUUGAUUUUGUCACCUACAAUCAAAAGACUCCAACUCUGAAAAUGAAUAAAAAAUAAAAUGAGAAAAAUGCUUCCA